rnacentral:ribozyme from 1 species
UUUUUUUUUUUUUUUUUUUUUUUUUUCU